rnacentral:rRNA from 1 species
ACGUAGGGGGCAAGCGUUGUCCGGAUUCACUGGGUGUAAAGGGCGCGCAGGCGGGUUAACAAGUCAGAGGUGAAAUCCUACAGCUUAACUGUAGAACUGCCUUUGAAACUGUUAAUCUUGAGUGCGGAAGAGAGAGACGGAAUUCCAGGUGUAGCGGUGAAAUGCGUAGAGAUCCGGAGGAACCCCGGUGGCGAAGGCGACUUGCUGGGCCUGAACUGACGCUCAGACGCGAAAGCAUGGGGAGCGAACGG